GAGACGGUGACUGGCCAGGACUGUGCCCUAAAGAGAAAGCCCAGGCGGUCCGUCGUUGUCUGGGAAAUACAGGUGCCAAAGGCAAUAGUUACACGUUUCAUCGGCAAACAAGGACAGUUUAUUAAAUCCUUGAGGAGAGAGUCUGGGGCCAAAGUUUGUGUGUGGGAGCUGCCUCAUCUCCGUGACUCCGAAGUCUGUCACAUCGAAGAGCUGUCUCAGCCAGAGCAGAGCCAUGCCAGUCGUUAGAGCUCGUGCAGACCCGGGAUUCCUCAGCAUGAAGCUGAUGCUGGCCAUCUUCUGUGUGACAUCACUAACCCGGAGACCGCUUUGUUGUCCUAUUGCCAUGGCAACAAGAGGUGCCAACCGCUGUCCCCAGGAGCAGUCAGUCACUU